AGUCACUUCUUUUUGUCCCACCUGUCCCUGCCAAUCUCCGGAAGGAGAAAUGACACUGGAGAGGCCGAGAGGAGUGACUGCAGAGACAGGGGAGUGGGUGGGCUGGCCCAUGGCUGAGGCCUCGCUCCCAGAGCCGUGGGGAGAUACGGAGGCCACACCUUGCCCGGGUGUUGUGGAACUGGAGGAGCUCCUGAGGGCAGGGAAAAUCUCUUCUUGCAACCGGGCGGACGAAGUUUGGCCCAACCUUUACAUCGGAGAUGCGGCCACAGCCAAUAACCGCUUUGAGCUCUGGAAGCUGGGCAUCACCCAUGUGCUGAACGCCGCCCACGGAGGCCUCUACUGUCAGGGCGGCCCUGACUUCUACGGCAGCAGCGUGAGCUACCUGGGGGUGCCAGCCCACGACCUCCCCGAUUUCGACAUCAGUGCCUACUUCUCCUCCGCAGCUGACUUCAUUCACCGCGGCCUCAGCACACCUGGGGCCAAGGUCCUGGUGCACUGUGUGGUAGGCGUGAGCCGCUCCGCCACCCUGGUCCUGGCCUACCUCAUGCUGCACCAGCAGAUGUCCCUGCGCCAGGCAGUGAUCACCGUGAGGCAGCACCGAUGGGUCUUCCCCAACCGAGGCUUCCUUCACCAGCUCUGCCAGCUGGACCAGAAGCUGCGGGGUGCAGGCCGGAGCUGAGGGGCCAGCCUACCCAGGUUCUUCAGACCCCAGAAAGGAUGGAAAGACUAGGAAAGAAAGGGCUGGAAAGCUUAAAAUGGAAGAGCUUCAGCUCUGGGGGAAAGUGCGGCUGCAGCUAUUGCUUAAGUUCAGUUAAUUCUCACCUCAGCCCGACCUCACCAUCCCCACGUGGGGAAGGAGAACAGGUGCUGCCACCAGCCAUGACCUCCGCACACAGCCCUGCUGAUGUGAAGUUCUCCUGUCAUCAUGCCAAUCCAUUCUCUCCUUCGACCCAGCACCCCGUGCCCUACCUGCCCCCACCCCUGCCGCCCAAUCUGAUCUCAGAUCAAUAGAAGGACUCUCCCUAACCUCCCUCCUCUCUGGU